rnacentral:rRNA from 1 species
GGCGAACGCUGGCGGCGUGCUUAACACAUGCAAGUCGAACGGAAAGGCCCUGCUUUUGUGGGGUGCUCGAGUGGCGAACGGGUGAGGAACACGUGUGUAACCUGCCCUUCACUUUGGGAUAACUUCAGGAAACUGGGGCUAAUCCCGGAUAGGAUAUCCCGCUGCAGUGUGGGCGGUGGAUCGUUUCGGCUGUUGGGGCUGGACUAGCGGCUUAUGAGCUCGUUGGUUGGGGAGUGGCUUACCAAGGGUUUGAAGGGUAGCCGGCCUGAGAGGGGGGCCGGCCACAAUGGGACUGAGAUACGGCCCAGACUCGUAUGGGAGGCAGCGGGGGGGAGUAUUGUACAGUGGGAGGACGCCUGAUGCAGAAACGCCGCGUGCGGGAAGACGGCCUGCGGGUUGUAAACCGCAUUAGCCUGAGACGAAGCGUGAGUGACGGUAACGGGUAAAGAAGCACCGGCUAACUACGUG